rnacentral:rRNA from 1 species
GCGUCGACGGGUAGCCGGCCUGAGAGGGUGACCGGCCACACUGGGACUGAGACGCGGCCCAGACUCCUACGGGAGGCAGCAGUGGGGAAUAUUGCACAAUGGGCGCAAGCCUGAUGCAGCAACGCCGCGUGCGGGAUGACGGCCUUCGGGUUGUAAACCGCUUUUAGUAAGGAAGAAGGGGCUUCGGCCUUGACGGUACUUGCAGAAAAAGGACCGGCUAACUACGUGCCAGCAGCCGCGGUAAUACGUAGGGUCCGAGCGUUGUCCGGAAUUAUUGGGCGUAAAGAGCUCGUAGGCGGUUUGUCGCGUCUGCUGUGAAAACUAGAGGCUCAACCUCUAGCCUGCAGUGGGUACGGGCAGACUUGAGUGGUGUAGGGGAGACUGGAAUUCCUGGUGUAGCGGUGGAAUGCGCAGAUAUCAGGAGGAACACCGAUGGCGAAGGCAGGUCUCUGGGCACUUACUGACGCUGAGGAGCGAAAGCGUGGGGAGCGAACAGGAUUAGAUACCCUGGUAGUCCACGCCGUAAACGUUGGGCGCUAGAUGUGGGGACCUUUCCACGGUUUCCGUGUCGUAGCUAACGCAUUAAGCGCCCCGCC